rnacentral:rRNA from 1 species
ACCUCUAGGUUGAGGAGGCGGUGACUGUGGCAGUGGAGGAGGAGGAUGAGGUAGCCAACACUGUUUUUUUUAUAUAUAGCUAUAUAUUUUAAUUGGGGUAGCCCCCAAAAUAUUGGGACCUAUAAAAAAAGACAACUCUGUUCCGCAGAGUAGCUGUUGACAUUAUAGUUGCGCAGGCACUUUGUUGAUUCUAGAGAACCUCGGGCCAAUCGCACUUCCCCGUGGCGGCGACUUUGCAUGCGGAUGUCAUCCAUAUCAACUUUCAAUGCCAGUUUCUGCGCCUACCAUGGUGACCACGGGUAACGGGGAAUCAGGGUUCCAUUCCGUACAGGGACCCUUAGAAACGGCUACCACAUGCAAGGAAGGCA